rnacentral:tRNA from 1 species
AUUGGAGUAGCAGAGUCCGGCCCAAUGCAAAAGACCUAAGCCCUUUCACUCAGGGGUUCAACUCCCCUCUCCAAUU